UACGUAGGGGGCAAGCGUUGUCCGGAAUCAUUGGGCGUAAAGAGCGCGUAGGCGGUCCGGUAAGUCCGCUCUGAAAGUCCGGGGCUCAACCCCGGGAGGCGGGCGGAUACUGUCGGGCUAGAGUCCGGAAGAGGCGAGUGGAAUUCCUGGUGUAGCGGUGAAAUGCGCAGAUAUCAGGAGGAACACCGGUGGCGAAGGCGGGUCUCUGGACAGUUCCUGACGCUGAGGCACGAAGGUCAGGGGAGCAAACGGG
rnacentral:rRNA from 1 species